UACUCUCUAGAUCUGCUGGGGCUGGACUGAGGCUGGGGCAAGCCUCGUAAGGACUGGACCACGGGUGGGCAGGAGACCGGUGGAGAACCCGCCCUGUUGUUGGGGCUGGGGAGGGCCGCGCACCGAGACUAAAUUCUCCUUCCGGCCAGAUCCGCUCACCAGGCCCUGGCGACCUGAGCAUCUACGACAACUGGAUCCGGUACUUCAACCGCAGCAGCCCGGUGUACGGCCUGGUCCCCAGAGCAAGACUUCAGCCAGGAUCUACCCCACCUACCAUACAGCCUUUGACACCUUUGACUAUGUGGACAAGUUUUUGGACCCAGGUGAGGAGGGAGACAAGGGGCAUCCUGAGACCAGGACAGGAGAGGCUGAAGACUGAGCCCUGGCCUUGUCACCUUGCCGCAGGCUUCAGCAGCCAUCAGGCUGUGGCCCGGACAGCGGGGAGUGUGAUUCUCCGGCUCAGUGACAGCUUCUUCCUGCCCCUCAAAGUCAGUGACUACAGUGAGACACUCCGCAGCUUCCUGCAGGCAGCCCAGCAAGAUCUCGGGGCCCUGCUGGAGCAGCACAGCAUCAGCCUGGGUAGGCACAGCCCUGACCCUGAGGUAUGGGGAGCCCUGCACCCCCAGGACUGAGCCACUGCUUGUUCCUCACAGGGCCUCUGGUGACUGCAGUGGAGAAGUUUGAGGCAGAAGCUGCAGCCUUGGGCCAACGCAUAUCAACACUGCAGAAGGGCAGCCCUGAGUGAGCAAGGGCAGCGGGCAGGGGCUGG
rnacentral:sRNA from 1 species